rnacentral:piRNA from 1 species
UCCAUGAGUUUUGAUUCAGGAGUCUGUCA